GACGUAGGGCGCAAGCGUUGUCCGGAUUUAUUGGGCGUAAAGAGCUCGUAGGCGGCUUGUUGCGUCGACCGUGAAAACCCGUGGCUCAACUGCGGGCUUGCGGUCGAUACGGGCGGGCUAGAGUUCGGUAGGGGAGACUGGAAUUCCUGGUGCAGCGGUGAAAUGCGCAGAUAUCAGGAGGAACACCGGUGGCGAAGGCGGGUCUCUGGGCCGAUACUGACGCUGAGGAGCGAAAGCGUGGGGAGCGAACAGG
rnacentral:rRNA from 1 species